AUUCAGCUGACGAGUUCCAAAUAGGACGAAACGCGCAUCCUGAAU
rnacentral:hammerhead_ribozyme from 1 species